GCCCGUGCCCGCCGCCGGUUCAAUCGUGGCCUAAAGCGCAAGCCCAUGGGCCUGAUCAAGAAGCUCCGCAAAGCCAAGCAAGAGGCCAAGCCCAACGAGAAGCCCGACCUUGUCAAGACUCACCUCCGUGACAUGAUCGUGGUCCCAGAAAUGAUUGGCAGCAUCAUCGGUAUCUACUCCGGAAAAGAAUUCAACCAGGUGGAAAUCAAGCCUGAGAUGGUUGGCCACUAUCUUGGUGAAUUCUCGAUCUCAUACAAACCCGUCAAGCACGGCAGACCGGGUAUUGGUGCUACUCACUCCUCGCGUUUCAUUCCCCUUAAAUAAACUAAAAACAAUCAAAUAUGUUUUUCUUUCGUCGCUACUCGGGUCAGGGUUUCCAUUGUUUUUAGCUUUGUUUUUGGUAAUCUUCAUAUCUGCGGGCUAUGGAGAGGGUUAUAUUUGCUCAAACAGACGCAUCAAAUUCCCACUCUCUGUUUUUUUAGCUAAAAAAACGUUUUAUAUGAUGAUAGCUGAAAACUAAUGUCAUGUCCCUAUCUAAAAUGAUUCCCAAUUUGGUUUCUUCUGUAUUUCAAGGUAUCCUUUUAUAUUUGCCAUUCAAAGGCAACUGGUUCGUACUGCACGACUGCGAUCCGGCUAUCUCGUCCCAUGAAAAUUUUACGAUCGCCAAUCCUCAUGGAUUGGACGGGAUGUACUAAAUAUUUACAUCAUUUACAUCUUUUGGAGAACGUACCUGGUAGAUUCAUUUCAGGAUUCGAUAGUAAUCGACGUAUCCAGGGCUCCGCCCUUCUUCGCCUCUUCUCGCAAUAUAAACCGAGCUGAAACCUUGAGCAUUGACACUUUACACUCCUGUAUAACCCGUGGGAUUUUGAAUUCAUACACGCUGUAUGCGGUUGAUGAGCCGACAUGGUGUGUAUAUUGAUGAUGCUUGACGUCAAGGAUUGGCAACAAUUCCGUCAUAACUCACGUGGCUGGAUAUAUAUAAACAAUACCAUCAAACGUUACUCUUUCCAUGCUUCGAGCGGGAGCACUUCCAAAGAUAAAUCAAUUGAAACUUUUAACGCACAGAGUAAUAUAUUAUCAUAUAACUUCGUAUAAAAAACGGUUCGGACAUCUGCAUGAAUCCAAUGUGGAAGGUUGACGAUCGCGCAACCCAAACUCAUAUCAUGUCCAGCCCUUCGAAGAAGCUGCUCGCCAACGUGCGCAGGAUUGUCCCGCCCAUGCUGGAGAGGUUUCACAAAGGACAACUUGGCCGAGUCGCAGUUAUAGGAGGCAGUGCAGAGUGUGUAUUUCAACCACUAUGUUGCCUUCUUCCUCAUGCUCCUCAAUGUAUCACAUCUACUCUAAUUUGAGAUGGGAGACAUAUAGUUCGCUUUCAUAUGUUUAAAUGUUCUCACACUCCAUUAGUUCCUAUGGGCAGUGAACUAGCAAGUCUCUGUUCUGAAGACACUGGGUGUCAUGUCGUUUUCCUCCCAUUUUCUAUUUUGAUAUCAUGGACAUUUUAUUUAGGGAAAUUUGUCCAAUUUAUUAUUAAGAAUAGGUCAGAGAUGCUGACGCCUCGUCAAACACUGUAGCUAUACAGGCGCCCCAUAUUUCUCUGCAAUGGCAUCUGCAAGGCUUGGUGCGACAUGAGUCAUGUUAUCUGUGAACCAUCCUCAGCAACAGUAAUAAAAUCUUACUCCCCAAAUCUAAUGGUCCACCCAAUCCUCCAAUCCUCCAACACCGUCUCCUCAUUCUCCAACAGCCCGCUCCCACACCCACACGCCCGCGCCCUCGCAGAGCCUGUACUUUCCUUCCUAUCCCGUUUGCACGUGCUCGUCAUCGGCCCUGGCCUCGGACGGGAUCCGGUAACGCAAGAAAUAGUCACCGAAAUCAUCAAAGAAGCACGCUCAAGAGAAAUCCCCCUAGUCCUGGACGCGGACGCGCUGCUUCUCGUCCAGGAGCAUCCAGACCUCAUCCAUGGCUACACAGAAUGCAUCUUGACGCCCAACGUUGUGGAGUUCGCGCGGCUAGCGAAGGCGUUGCGUGCAGAUGUGUCUUCCAUGCCGGAUAGUGAUGCUGGCAAGUCUGAGGCCUGCAAGCGGCUAUCUAAUGCUCUCGGUGGCGUGACGAUCAUUCAAAAGGGGCCGCAUGAUACUAUUUCUAAUGGUAUGGUUAAUAUUGUAUGUGAUGUGCGGGGUGGGUUGAAGAGGAGCGGCGGUCAGGGCGACACGUUGACGGGGUCGUUGGGGACGCUACUUGCAUGGCGCAAGGCAUAUCAUGAGGGGUUGUGGGAUACCGGUGAGUCUGAAGCGAGUGGUGGGAGGGAGCUAUCCAGACAGGAUAUCGAGGAGGAUCUUUCGAUUUGUGGUUAUGAGAGUGGCGACGAUGGAGAACGGGAUGGUGAUAAACCGAAGAAGAAAUUGUCGAGGCCUGCGACGCUUUUGCUGGUUGCGUGGGCGGGGAGUGCGAUCACGAGGGAAUGCUCGAGGAGGGCGUUCAUGGCGAAAGGGAGAAGCAUGCAGGCGAGUGAUUUGACGGAUGAAGUGCAUGGGAGCUUCUUGGAUUUGAUUGGAGAGCCGGAGGGGACGAAGUUGUGAGCAAUUUUAUUGCCUGCGUCUGUUCGGGCUGUAAUGGUAUCGAUGUAUGCUUGUAAUUCCUGUAUGAUGAGGACGGAUAGGGACCUUAUGCGACAUUGAACUUUAAUCAUAUUUAUUUCGUAUGAAAAUAAGAGAGAUGGCCGACAUUUGACCAAGAAGCCACGCAUGGCGAAUGGUAAAUCUAAGACCAUCAAACGCAAGAGAUGCCCGAAAAUCAUCAGCGAAAAAAAAUAGAAAGAAAAACAGAAAAAGAAAACAAAAGGAGUUUCCAGCCUGAUUUUAUCUGGAUCACCUCCAAAAAAAAGGUUUGGGGGGGAAGGGGGAGGUUGGUGUGCUUUCGCAGCAUAUUGGAUCUAAGGGAAACGAAAAGGGGAAGCCCUGGAGGAUAAAAGGGGCCAAAUACAUCAUGUAAAUGGAAAAUAUCGCAGCCAUAUAUAACCCGAGUCGUAUCCGUGAUGCAUAGCAUAUAUACCAUAAAAAAAAAAAAAAAAAAAAAAGAAGGAAAAAAAAGGAAAAAAAGCCAACAAAUCAUCCUUUACAUCGUUGUAACGUUGUAACUCCGGAUCUGAUGAAUAUCCAAUCCCAUCCUAAUUCAAAACUCAUCAAAAAAUACCCCAAUACGACUCAAAGCUAUAAACAUCACUCUGAAGCCUGCUCAGAUGUCAACACAAAAAGAGAAAUCUGGGAAUGAAAAAUUUUCAUUUCCCCACAAGAACACUAGGAUAAAGAUAAUAUGCCGGCGAAGUCACGUAAAACAUUUCCAUAUCGCUGUGUUCUAGCGAAGAGGUGUAGAGAACUUCAUAAGGUGUAGCAAGGACACGGUGGCCAUCGGGAAACCUACUGCAUCCGAUAUGCAAUCGUAUGUGGCGGUAUAUCUAGACUGCAAACUUGCAAUCGGAGCAAGGAGCAUGGUCGCAUUCGAUACACCUUCCUGCGACUUGAAUGAUAUACUCACUUGUCCCGGAGGGGCAUUUGCAACAAGUGAUAAUCGCGCUCUGCGGGAAACUAUUUU
rnacentral:sRNA from 2 species